GCCAGUGUGGCGUAGUGGUUUGAGUGUUGGACUAUGACUUUGGAGACCAAGGUUCGAUUUCCUGUUGGGCCA